UUGGGUAGGGGAGCGUUGUAUACGCGGUGAAACAGUAGCGCAAGCGGCUGUGGAGUGUAUAGAAGUGAGAAUGCCGGAAUGAGUAGCGCGAAUGCAGUGAGAAUCUGCAUGGCCGAAAGCCUCAGGUUUCUGGAGGAAGGUUCGUCCGCUCCAGGUUAGUCGGGAGCUAAGGUGAGGCCUAACGGCGUAGCCGAUGCACAGACGGUAGAGAUUCCGUCACCACCAAAAGAGUUAAACACAGGGACACAUAUGAAGUCUCGGAGCCGGGUGUUGGUUCCGGUAGCGAUCGAGGGAAGUUAGUACCGAAGUCUGAGAUGGAAGAUGGCGAGAAAAGCUGUGUGUAUUUCUGCGGUGCCCGUACCGCAAACCGACACAGGUAGGUAGGAAGAAGAUUCUAAGGCCAACGGGAGAAGGGUUGUUAAGGAACUCGGCAAAUUGACCCCGUAACUUCGGGAGAAGGGGUGCUCCAGAGAUGGAGCCGCAGAGAAUCGGCCCAAGCAACUGUUUACCAAAAACACAGGUUUGUGCUAAAUCGAAAGAUGACGUAUACGAGCUGACGCCUGCCCGGUGCUGGAAGGUUAAGAGGAGAUGUGCAAGCAUUGAAUCGAAGCCCCAGUGAACGGCGGCCGUAACUAUAACGGUCCUAAGGUAGCGAAAUUCCUUGUCAGGUAAGUUCUGACCCGCAUGAAAGGCGUAAUGAUUUGGGCACUGUCUCAACAGCCCGCCCGGCGAAAUUGUAGUACCGGUGAAGAUGCCGGUUACCCGCGACAAGACGGAAAGACCCCAUGGAGCUUUACUGUAGCCUAAUAUUGGGUUUCGAUGUUGCAUGCACAGGAUAGAUGGGACUCUUGGAAACGAUCGCUUUGGCGGUCGCGGAGAGGCCGUUGGGAUACCAUCCUUGCGAUAUUGGAAUUCUAACCUGCGCCUUUGAAUCAAGGCGGGGGACAUUGUUAGGUGGGCAGUUUGACUGGGGCGGUCGCCUCCUAAAGAGUAACGGAGGCGUUCAAAGGUUCGCUCAGCUUGAACGGAAAUCAAGCAAAAGAGUGCAAACGCAGAAGCGAGCCUAACUGCGAGACUGACGGGUCGAGCAGUAACGAAAGUUGGAGUUAGUGAUCCGGUGGUAUGUGAGUGGAAAUGCCAUCGCUCAACGGAUAAAAGUUACCCUGGGGAUAACAGGCUGAUCUCCCCCAAGAGUCCACAUCGACGGGGAGGUUUGGCACCUCGAUGUC
rnacentral:rRNA from 1 species